rnacentral:rRNA from 1 species
CUACGGGUUGCACCAGUGGGGAAUAUUGCACAAUGGACGAAAGUCUGAUGCAGCAACGCCGCGUGGAGGAUGACACAUUUCGGUGCGUAAACUCCUUUUAUAUAGGAAGAUAAUGACGGUACUAUAUGAAUAAGCACCGGCUAACUCCGUGCCAGGCAGCCGCGGUAAUACGGAGGGUGCAAGCGUUACUCGGAAUUACUGGGCGUAAAGAGCGUGUAGGCGGGUUUGUAAGUUGGAUGUGAAAUCCUAUGGCUCGACCAUAGAACUGCAUCCAAAACUGCUUACCUAGAAUAUGGGAGAGGUAGAUGGAAUUUCUGGUGUAGGGGUAAAAUCCGUAGAGAUCAGAAGGAAUACCGAUUGCGAAGGCGAUCUACUGGAACAUUAUUGACGCUGAGACGCGAAAGCGUGGGGAGCAAACAGGAUUAGAUACCCCGGUAGUC